CCUACGGGAGGCAGCAGUAAGGAAUAUUGGUCAAUGGACGGAAGUCUGAACCAGCCAUGCCGCGUGCAGGAUGACGGCCCUCUGGGUUGUAAACUGCUUUUAUAGGGGACGAAAAAAGGGGAUUCUUCCUCACUUGACGGUACCCUAGGAAUAAGCACCGGCUAACUCCGUGCCAGCAGCCGCGGUAAUACGGAGGGUGCAAGCGUUAUCCGGAUUUACUGGGUUUAAAGGGUGCGUAGGUGGGUCGGUAAGUCAGCGGUGAAAUCUUCGAGCUUAACUCGGAAACUGCCAUUGAUACUAUCGAUCUUGAAUCGUCUAGAGGUAAGCGGAAUAUGUCAUGUAGCGGUGAAAUGCUUAGAUAUGACAUAGAACACCAAUUGCGAAGGCAGCUUACUAUGGAUGUAUUGACACUGAGGCACGAAAGCGUGGGGAUCAAACAGGAUUAGAUACCCUGGUAGUCCACGCCCUAAACGAUGGAUACUCGACAUUUGAGAUAUACUUUAAGUGUCUGAGCGAAAGCAUUAAGUAUCCCACCUGGGAAGUACGAUCGCAAGAUUGAAACUCAAAUGAAUUGACGG
rnacentral:rRNA from 1 species